UCUCUAGUUUGCCGGUAGGAAAAGUCACCCUCCCUAUCUAGGAGUGCACGAUGCCAAUCACACUUCUUGCAUGUUUCUCGGGAGUAAAGAUCGAGACGCAGUGGCGCCGAACUCCAGAUCGAAUCUGAAAUUCCCCAAUCCCACACCUCCGUCCGCGUUCCUCCCGCCGGUGGUUGGUCCUCGCCGGCGCGCGCCCUCACUCACCGUCGCUGCAGGGAGAAGCCAGCGAGGCCACUCUGUCCAGCGUCUCCUCCGUCCGUCCUCCUCCCACCAGAGUAAGGACUUGGUCGUUGCCGCCCGCGUUUACCGCCGCCGCAGGAAGUAGACGGCGGCAAUGUCACGCCUCCAGCCCCGCUAUUUCUCCAGCUCCGUGUCCUCACGCGCCAACGAACUGCUGAGCGAAUUCCACCAUCAUCUGGGCUCCGGAACGCUCUGGCCGGAGCUCGCGCGCCAACUGUUCGACCAAAUGCUGCGCCAACCUGUCCCGGUAUCAGUACGUGCACUCAACGGCUUAUUUGCUGCCCUCGCGCGUGCGCCGCCCUCAACCGCCUGCACCAAUGCCCCUGCCCUCGUCAUUGAUCUCUUCAACCGCAUGGCCCAAGCAGGUCGUCGCCAGGUGACAGCACCCACCAUUUACACCUACAGCAUACUUAUUGAGUGCUGCCACCGAGCAUGCCGCCCAGACCUAGGGCUUGCCUUCUUCGGCCGCCUCCUCCAGACAGGCAUCACGACGGACGUCAUUACCUACAGCAGCUUACUCAAGUGCCUCUGUGACAUGAAGCGCACGGAGGAGGCUUUGGGCGUGCUGCUCCACAGGAUGCCCAACGACCUGCCUAAUGUCAUCUCCUACUCAGUAAUUCUCAAGAGCUUCUGCGACAGUGGUAGGAGCCAGCUUGCGCUUGAUCUGCUCCGAAUGAUGGCCGAAAAAGGAUCUGACCACUCCCCCAGCGUGGUGUCAUACAGCGUGGUAAUCGAUGGUUUCUUCAAGGAGGGUGAAAUAAGCAAAGCAUGUGAUCUGUUCCAUGAAAUGAUGCAGCAGGGGGUUGUGCCCGAUGUGGUGAUGUAUACCUCCAUUAUCAAUGCGCUAUGCAAAGCAAGAGCAAUGGACAAGGCAGAGGUGGUUCUUCGAUCAAUGGUUCAUAAUGGUGUCCAACCAGAUGCUGUGACAUAUACUAGCCUGAUCCAAGGAUAUUCAACUUUAGGCCAGUUGAAAGAAGUCGCUAGGUUGUUGAAAGUGAUGAGAAGCCAAGGUGUUAUGCCAGACGUUGUUACCUGCACCUUAGUCAUGGACUACCUUUGCAAGCAUGGAAGAACCAAAGAAGCUCAGGAAAUAUUUUAUUCCAUGGCUGUGAAUGGGCAAAAACCUGAUAUUGUCGCAUACUGUACUAUGCUCUAUGGGUACUCUAUAGAAGGAUCCCUUGUUGAUAUGAUCGAUCUCUGUGAGCUGAUGGCAAGAGAUGGAGUUGUACCCAACCUCCGUUGUUUCAACAUACUGAUUAAUGCAUAUGCUAAGCAUGGAAUGAUGGAUGUGGCCCUGCUUUUCUUCGAAGAUAUGUUGAAGCAGGGGGUGAAGCCUAAUGAAUUCACUUAUUUAACUGUGAUAUCUGCAUUUUGCAAGAUGGGCAGGAUGGAUGAUGCGAUGGAAAAAUUCCGUGAGAUGAUUGAUAUGGGAGUACCAGUUGACACAGAAGUUUACAUGUGCAUGAUUGAGGGUUAUUUGAAUCACGGUGACUCCGUGAAAGCGAAGGAAUUGAUUACUGAAAUGAAGAACACGGAUAUUCGUCAUAAGCCGUGGAAGGGUAAUGGAAGAACAUAAUGUCUUUGACAUGGUUGUAGGUACUGGUGAGAGGCCUGAUCUUGUUACAUUUACUUAAAUGAUCGACUAAUAUUGCAUAGUCGUCAAGACAAAAGACACAUUUAUAGUACUUGGUGUCAAACACUCGUUACUUACCAUGGCUAUUCUCUCAUGGUCAUUCUUUCGAAGAGAAAGAGAACAGAACAAUUUCAGUUUCCUGCCAUAAAUGAUUUCUGAGUCCAAACACUACAAUUGCCCAUUGAGCAUGAAGCUUUAGUAUUACGCCAAAUGGUGCUAGCAUAUGCUUGAUUUUAUGUGUCAUCAUCAGCAACUGCUCGAGUACUCGACUGAAUUGAUAACUGGGGGAGCGAUCCUUUCCCAAAAAUGGCGAACAGCUCCAUCACCAUAUCUUUCCUGGCAUUCAUGGUUUUUUCCACCAAGUCACUCAUCUCUGCUUACAAUCUCAUCCACUGAUCUUUAGCUUAAUGUACUAACGACCUGUUGUUGAUUUUUUUUGCCAUUUCGGAUAAAGUAUUUCAUGCUUACCUUUUUGUGCUGUACAAUAACUGUUGUGCUCUAGACUUCCAGUAAUGA